rnacentral:rRNA from 1 species
GUGGGGAAUAUUGCGCAAUGGGCGAAAGCCUGACGCAGCGACGCCGCGUGAGGGAUGAAGGUUUUCGGAUCGUAAACCUCUGUCAGAAGGGAAGAAACUACAUUGUGCUAAUCAGCAGUGUACUGACGGUACCUUCAAAGGAAGCACCGGCUAACUCCGUGCCAGCAGCCGCGGUAAUACGGAGGGUGCAAGCGUUAAUCGGAAUUACUGGGCGUAAAGCGCACGUAGGCUGUAGUGUAAGUCAGGGGUGAAAUCCCACGGCUCAACCGUGGAACUGCCUUUGAUACUGCACAACUUGAAUCCGGGAGAGGGUGGCGGAAUUCCAGGUGUAGGAGUGAAAUCCGUAGAUAUCUGGAGGAACAUCAGUGGCGAAGGCGGCCACCUGGACCGGUAUUGACGCUGAGGUGCGAAAGCGUGGGGAUCAAACAGGAUUAGAUACCCUAGUAGUCC